rnacentral:rRNA from 1 species
UGAGUAACACGUGGGCAAUCUGCCCUUCACUCUGGGACAAGCCCUGGAAACGGGGUCUAAUACCGGAUAUGACCGCUGACCGCAUGGUCGGUGGUGGAAAGCUCCGGCGGUGAAGGAUGAGCCCGCGGCCUAUCAGCUUGUUGGUGGGGUGAUGGCCUACCAAGGCGACGACGGGUAGCCGGCCUGAGAGGGCGACCGGCCACACUGGGACUGAGACACGGCCCAGACUCCUACGGGAGGCAGCAGUGGGGAAUAUUGCACAAUGGGCGAAAGCCUGAUGCAGCGACGCCGCGUGAGGGAUGACGGCCUUCGGGUUGUAAACCUCUUUCAGCAGGGAAGAAGCGAAAGUGACGGUACCUGCAGAAGAAGCGCCGGCUAACUACGUGCCAGCAGCCGCGGUAAUACGUAGGGCGCAAGCGUUGUCCGGAAUUAUUGGGCGUAAAGAGCUCGUAGGCGGCUUGUCACGUCGGAUGUGAAAGCCCGGGGCUUAACCCCGGGUCUGCAUUCGAUACGGGCAGGCUAGAGUGUGGUAGGGGAGAUCGGAAUUCCUGGUGUAGCGGUGAAAUGCGCAGAUAUCAGGAGGAACACCGGUGGCGAAGGCGGAUCUCUGGGCCAUUACUGACGCUGAGGAGCG